rnacentral:rRNA from 1 species
ACUAAAUAGAUACCCAGGUAGUCCACGCCCUAAACGAUGAUUACUCGACAUACGCGAUACACAGUGUGUGUCUGAGCGAAAGCAUUAAGUAAUCCACCUGGGAAGUACGACCGCAAGGUUGAAACUCAAAGGAAUUGACGAGGGUCCGCACAAGCGGUGGAGCAUGUGGUUUAAUUCGAUGAUACGCGAGGAACCUUACCUGGGCUAGAAUGCUGCCUGACGAAUCCUGAAAGGGGUUUUUAUAGCAAUAUACAGGUAGUAAGGUGCUGCAUGGCCGUCGUCAGCUCGUGCCGUGAGGUGUUGGGUUAAAGUCCCGCAACGAGCGCAACCCCGUAUUUCCAGUUGCCAACACGUAAUGGUGGGAACUCUGGAGAAACUGCCGCCGUAAGGCGUGAGGAAGGAGGGGUAUGAUGUCAGGUCAUCAUGGCCUUUAUGCCCAGGGCUACACACGUGCUACAAUGGGGAGGACAAAGGGACGCUACCUGGUGACAGGAUGCAAAUCUCAAAAACCGUCUUCUCAGUUCAGAUUGUA